AUUGAACGCUGGCGGCAGGCCUAACACAUGCAAGUCGAGCGGAUGAAGGGAGCUUGCUCCUGGAUUCAGCGGCGGACGGGUGAGUAAUGCCUAGGAAUCUGCCUGGUCGUGGGGGAUAACGUCCGGAAACGGGCGCUAAUACCGCAUACGUCCUGAUGGAGAAAGUGGGGGAUCUUCGGACCUCACGCUAUCAGAUGAGCCUAGGUCGGAUUAGCUAGUUGGUGGGGUAAAGGCCUACCAAGGCGACGAUCCGUAACUGGUCUGAGAGGAUGAUCAGUCACACUGGAACUGAGACACGGUCCAGACUCCUACGGGAGGCAGCAGUGGGGAAUAUUAGGCAAUGGGCGAAAGCCUGAUCCAGCCAUGCCGCGUGUGUGAAGAAGGUCUUCGGAUUGUAAAGCACUUUAAGUUGGGAGGAAGGGAAGUAAGUUAAUACCUUGCUAUUUUGACGUUACCAACAGAAUAAGCACCGGCUAACUUCGUG
rnacentral:rRNA from 1 species